UGCGUAGGGGGCAAGCGUUGUCCGGAAUUAUUGGGCGUAAAGAGCGUGUAGGCGGUCCGGUAAGUCGGCUGUGAAAGUCCAGGGCUCAACCCUGGGAUGCCGGUCGAUACUGCCGGACUAGAGUUCGGAAGAGGCGAGUGGAAUUCCUGGUGUAGCGGUGAAAUGCGCAGAUAUCAGGAGGAACACCUAUUGCGAAGGCAGCUCGCUGGGACGUUACUGACGCUGAGACGCGAAAGCGUGGGGAGCAAACAGG
rnacentral:rRNA from 1 species